rnacentral:rRNA from 1 species
UACGGAGGGUGCAAGCGUUAUCCGGAUUCACUGGGUUUAAAGGGUGCGUAGGUGGGCAGGUAAGUCAGUGGUGAAAUCUCCGGGCUUAACUCGGAAACUGCCGUUGAUACUAUCUGUCUUGAAUAUCGUGGAGGUAAGCGGAAUAUGUCAUGUAGCGGUGAAAUGCUUAGAUAUGACAUAGAACACCAAUUGCGUAGGCAGCUUACUACACGAUCAUUGACACUGAGGCACGAAAGCGUGGGGAGCAAACAGG